CUUACUCCGUGAAUCGGAGG
rnacentral:snRNA from 1 species